rnacentral:lncRNA from 1 species
UCAUUUUCUUUUCAGUAUUGGAUAGUAUUAUUCGUAGAUAUUGGUGUGAAAAUAUAACAUUUUCUGCUGAAAUAGAAAUUUUAUUGAAGAAAAACAAAACCCUUGAGAGGACAGGCGCAAACAAGGAAAGUUCGGAAAAACCCAAACCAAAAAACAAAAAACAAAAAAGACAAAAAACCCAAGCGAAAAAAGAAAGAAAAAACAAGAACGAACAAGAGACGGGACCGCAAAGGGUCACAACCGAGGCCAAGCAAAGUCCACGCCAGAGCCGUCCCGGGUAGAGCACAACACAAGAACGCGCGCCAGAGAAA